AACGAACGCUGGCGGCGUGCCUAACACAUGCAAGUCGAACGGGAUGAGGGGGCUUGCUCCUUCAUUUAGUGGCGCACGGGUGAGUAACGCGUAGAUAAUCUGCCUGAUGAUCCGGGAUAACACUUCGAAAGAGGUGCUAAUACCGGAUAAGCCCACGGUAUCUUUGGAUUCUGCGGGAAAAGGGGGGCCGUUCGGCCGUCUGUCAUCAGAUGAGUCUGCGUACCAUUAGCUAGUUGGUAGGGUAAUGGCCUACCAAGGCUACGAUGGUUAGCUGGUUUGAGAGAAUGAUCAGCCACACUGGAACUGAGACACGGUCCAGACUCCUACGGGUGGCUG
rnacentral:rRNA from 1 species